rnacentral:rRNA from 1 species
UACGGAGGGGGCUAGCGUUGUUCGGAAUUACUGGGCGUAAAGCGCGCGUAGGCGGACCUGCAAGUCGGGGGUGAAAGCCCGAGGCUCAACCUCGGAACUGCCUUCGAUACUGCGGGUCUCGAGUCCGGGAGAGGUGAGUGGAAUUCCUAGUGUAGAGGUGAAAUUCGUAGAUAUUAGAAAGAACACCAGUGGCGAAGGCGGCUCACUGGCCCGGUACUGACGCUGAGGCGCGAAAGCGUGGGGAGCAAACAGG